rnacentral:rRNA from 1 species
CAGCAGCCGCGGUAAUACCAGCUCUCCGAGUUGUGGGGAUGUUUAUUGGGCCUAAAGCAUCCGUAGCCGGCUGGACAAGUCCUCUGUUAAAUCCAGCGACUAAUCGUUGGUCUGCGGGGGAUACUGUCCGGCUAGGGGGCGGGAGAGGCCGUCGGUAUUCUUGGGGUAGGGGUGAAAUCCUGUAAUCCCAGGAGGACCACCAGUGGCGAAGGCUGUCGGCUAGAACGCGCCCGACGGUGAGGGAUGAAAGCUGGGGGAGCGAACCGGAUUAGAUACCCGGGUAGUCCCAGCUGUAAACGAUGCAGGCUAGGUGUUAGGGCGGCUACGUGCCGCUCUAGUGCCGCAGGGAAGCUGUUAAGCCUGCCGCCUGGGGAGUACGGCCGCAAGGCUGAAACUCAAAGGAAUUGACGG